CGGUGAGCAUGUGGUUUAAUUCGAUGCAACGCGAAGAACCUUACCUGGGCUUGACAUGUCAGUGAAAUCUUGGUGAAAGCCGAGACCUCCACGACUUCGGUCAAGGACACUGUCACAGGUGGUGCAUGGCUGUCGUCAGCUCGUGUCGUGAGAUGUUGGGUUAAGUCCCGCAACGAGCGCAACCCUUGUCCUUAGUUGCCAGCACGUUAUGGUGGGGACUCUAAGGAGACUGCCUGGGAUAACCAGGAGGAAGGUGGGGAUGACGUCAAGUCCGUAUGUCCCUUAUGUCCAGGGCUACACACGUGUUACAAUGGCCGGUACAAAGGGUCGCGAACCCGCGAGGGGAAGCCAAUCCCAUAAAACCGGUCUCAGUUCGGAUUGGAGUCUGCAACUCGACUCCAUCAAGCAGGAAUCGCUAGUAAUCGCGCAUCAGCACGGCGCGGUGAAUACGUUCCCGGGUCUUGUACACACCGCCCGUCACGCCAUGGAAGUCAGUAGUACCCCAAGCCAGUGGCCUAACCCCGACGUGUCAGGGAGGGAGCUGUCGAAGGUAAGACUGGUAACUGGGGCGAAGUCGUAACAAGGUAGCC
rnacentral:rRNA from 1 species